AUGAACGCUGGCGGCGUGCCUAAUCCCUGCCAGUCGAGCGAACAGACGAGGAGCUUGCUCCUCUGACGUUAGCGGCGGACGGGUGAGUAACACGUGGAUAACCUACCUAUAAGACUGGGAUAACUUCGGGAAACCGGAGCUAAUACCGGAUAAUAUAUUGAACCGCAUGGUUCAAUAGUGAAAGACGGUUUUGCUGUCACUUAUAGAUGGAUCCGCGCCGCAUUAGCUAGUUGGUAAGGUAACGGCUUACCAAGGCAACGAUGCGUAGCCGACCUGAGAGGGUGAUCGGCCACACUGGAACUGAGACACGGUCCAGACUCCUACGGGAGGCAGCAGUAGGGAAUCUUCCGCAAUGGGCGAAAGCCUGACGGAGCAACGCCGCGUGAGUGAUGAAGGUCUUCGGAUCGUAAAACUCUGUUAUUAGGGAAGAACAAAUGUGUAAGUAACUAUGCACGUCUUGGCGGUACCUAAUCAGAAAGCCACGGCUAACUACGUG
rnacentral:rRNA from 1 species